GUAUUGUGAGGUCAGAGUGUAUAAUGCAGUAUUGUGAGGUCAGAGUAUAUAAUGCAGUAUUGUGAGGUUAAAGUAUAUAUUGUAGUAUUGUGAGGUCAGUAUAUUAUGCAGUAUUGUGAGGUUAAAGUAUAUAUUGUAGUAUUGUGAGGUCAGAGUAUAUAAUGCAGUAUUGUGAGGUUAGUAUUGUGAGGUCAGAGUAUAUCAUGCAGUAUUGUAAGGGUAAAGUAUAUAUUGUAGUAUUGUGAGGUCAGAGUGUAUAAUGCAGUAUUGUGAGGUUAAAGUAUCGUGAGGUCAGAGUAUAUAAUGCAGUAUUGUGAGGUUAAAGUAUAUAUUGUAGUAUUGUGAGGUCAGAGUAUAUAAUGCAGUAUUGUGAGGUUAGUAUUGUGAGGUCAGAGUGUAUAAUGCAGUAUUGUGAGGUUAUCUGCUCAUAGCAACCAUCUCCAUGGUUACUGCAGCAACAGGCAGCCACGGCUCCAGUCCGGUCGGAGAAUCCAUGCCUUGUUUUGGAGUCGAGCAGUGAACCCGUAGAUAAAGACGGGAGCAUCGAGUACAGAAAUAUUUUAUUAAACCGAAAGUGAUACAGUAUAAAUGCUGCUAUUGGGAGUUUCCACAAAGUAAACAAAGCGCAACGUUGUCGUACAGUCUCAAACGAAACCAACUAAACAGGGGAGACGGAGUGUCCUCCCAGAGGUCCUCAGGUAAGAAGCCCCCUAGGUGUCCUCCCAGAGGUCCUCAGGUGAAGAACGUGCGGGCCGCCCUCUGGGUGUCCUCCCAGAGGUCCUCAGGCGAGGAAGGCCCGGGCCGCCCUCUGGGUGUCCUCCCAGAGGUCCUCAGACGAGGAAGGCCCGGGCGGCCCUCUGGGUGUCGGGACUGCUGGCGUAGCGGCGCAGCAGGUCCCUGGCGGUCGUCUGCAGGGCCUCCGUCACCAGGGUGGAGCCCCGGGCCAGGUGGAGCACCACCAGGCUGCAC